UACGGAGGACCCGAGCGUUAUCCGGAUUCAUUGGGUUUAAAGGGUGCGUAGGCGUCCUGGUUAGUUUUCGGUGAAAUCCUCAAGCUUAACUUGAGAACUGCCGAGAAUACUGCCAGGAUUGAGUACAGUUGAGGUGGGCGGAAUGUGUCGUGUAGCGGUGAAAUGCUUAGAUAUGACACAGAACACCGAUUGCGAAGGCAGCUCGCUAAACUGUAACUGACGCUGAGGCACGAAAGCGUGGGUAGCAAACAGG
rnacentral:rRNA from 1 species